rnacentral:other from 1 species
AUAACCCUGGUUUAGGGUAACUAGAGAACUGGAUUUAUAGCAAAGGGAGCCAGGUUUGGCUGUGGUGAGCAGGCCUUCAGCAGUGAGAAGGAAGCCUGAAGCAUCCAACGAGGCACCCACUUAUAAAAAGGUCAUGGUUGCACUAAAUCCAGGGUUUUU